AUUGAACGCUGGCGGCAGGCUUAACACAUGCAAGUCGAGCGGUAGAGACCUUCGGGUCUUGAGAGCGGCGGACGGGUGAGUAAUACAUAGGAAUCUGCCUGGUAGUGGGGGAUAGCCCGGGGAAACCCGGAUUAAUACCGCAUACGCCCCAUGGGGGAAAGGAGGGGAUCUUCGGACCUUUCGCUAUCAGAUGAGCCUAUGUCGGAUUAGCUAGUUGGUGAGGUAAGGGCUCACCAAGGCGACGAUCCGUAACUGGUCUGAGAGGAUGAUCAGUCACACUAGAACUGAGACACGGUCCAGACUCCUACGGGAGGCAGCAGUGGGGAAUAUUGGACAAUGGGGGAAACCCUGAUCCAGCCAUGCCGCGUGUGCGAUGAAGGCUUUCGGGUUGUAAAGCACUUUCAGUCGGGAGGAAAGGGUAGCAGGCUAAUAUCCUGUGCAGUUGACGUUACCGACAGAAGAAGCACCGGCAAACUCCGUGCCAGCAGCCGCGGUAAUGUAG
rnacentral:rRNA from 1 species